GGACCCGCACAAGUAGUGGAGCAUGUGGUUUAAUUCGAAGAUACGCGCAGAACCUUACCAACACUUGACAUGUUCGUCGCGACUCUAAGAGAUUAGAGUUUUCGGUUCGGCCGGACGAAACACAGGUGCUGCAUGGCUGUCGUCAGCUCGUGUCGUGAGAUGUUGGGUUAAGUCCCGCAACGAGCGCAACCCUCACUUUUAGUUGCCAUCAUUAAGUUGGGCACUCUGAAAGAACUGCCAGUGAUAAGCUGGAGGAAGGUGGGGAUGACGUCAAGUCCUCAUGGCCCUUACGUGUUGGGCUACACACGUGCUACAAUGGCAGUGACAAUGGGUUAAUCCCCCAAAAGCUGUC
rnacentral:rRNA from 1 species